rnacentral:lncRNA from 1 species
UUAGAUCCAUUAUACCCAAUGCCAGAUUUGUCUCCUGUUAUUUGUCCAGUUUGGAGAAUCUUGUCUAAGGAGUCAGAUCCAUUGUUUAACAUUCUUACAUACUUGGUCAUCUCUUCUAGUUUAGAAUUCAAGAACAUAGCUUCAGUUUUUAACUUGGAGAUGGUUUCUACAUGCUCUGCCUUCUCAUUCUCCAGCUGUACUAUCACUUUCUUCUGGCUUUGAAUUUUAUCUAGCUUGGCAUUCAGAAC